rnacentral:rRNA from 1 species
GACGAACGCUGGCGGCGUGCUUAACACAUGCAAGUCGAACGGAAAGGCCCUGCUUUUGUGGGGUGCUCGAGUGGCGAACGGGUGAGUAACACGUGAGUAACCUGCCCUUGACUUUGGGAUAACUUCAGGAAACUGGGGCUAAUACCGGAUAGGAGCUCCUGCUGCAUGGGGGGGGUUGGAAAGUUUCGGCGGUUGGGGCUGGACUCGCGGCUUAUCAGCUUGUUGGUGGGGUAGUGGCUUACCAAGGCUUUGACGGGUAGCCGGCCUGAGAGGGUGACCGGGCACCAUGGGACUGAGAUACGGCCCAGACUCCUACGGGAGGCAGCAGGGGGGAAUAUGGCACAAUGGGCGGAAGUCUGAUGCAGCAACGCCGCGUGCGGGAAGACGGCCUUCUGGGUGUAAACCGCUUUCGCCUGUGACGAAGCGUGAGUGACGGUAAUGGGUAAAGAAGCACCGGCUAACUACGUG